UUAACCAGAACCUCCACCCAGAAUCCACCCGGAUAGAAUUCAGUGCCUUUUUUUUUGUAACCUGUUGCAGGGGAAGAAUAGCAGCGCAGUGCUUACUGCCCACAUCAUGUCAAGCUGGGGUGUAAGCGACACUCACAUCAGCAUCUGCUGUCCUUCAGGAACCUGGCAAUUGGAUAAGAGGUAAGCUUCACACUGAGGAUCUCUGUGCAGAAUCUGCUCCAGGCAAUGUGUAGCUUCUGGAAUGGAGAGAGAACUUGACCUUUGUUGUAGAGUGAGGAAUUCAGCCUAAUAUCAGACACCUAGGUGUGAAAGAAUGUGAAAGUCACCUGGGUGCUGCACUGUGACCCGCAGUGCUCCAGUCAAGCCAUGUAUUUAGUGAUGAUGAUCGCAACACCAUGAACGCUGCAUCCA